CUGGGAUUCGUUAGCGUCAUCAGGCUUUAGCUCGCUUACUAGGUCUUCAGAGUGUAUGAUACUGCAAGAUAUAGGAAUGUGCAAAACAACGCAAGAGAAGGAUAGAAAACCUAACAGAAUUAAAAGAUAUAGGAAAAGAAGUAAAUGGAAUGGAGCUAAACUUCAAAUCCCAAAUAAUGAAGGAUAACUAUAGAUCUGCCAUGAAAGCUGUUUGGUUCUCAAAUAUUAUUUCACAAGGAAAGUGAAUGACUGAAUACAAAGAAAAUGGAAACUCAUUCCUCUAUUCAUAUGUGAAUCAGCUUUAUGUUACAGGACUUUGCAGAGGUAAUAAAAUACUUUGGCAAUUACUAUUGACAGUUCUGGAUAAUCUUGAAGGCUGCCUUGCCUGAAGAAGAUGAGUGUUACAAAUCACUUCACUGAAAGAGGGAAGAACAGCAGCAGGCAGCAGACAGGUUUCAAUUUCACAAUGCUGAUUAUCUCAUUCGCGAUUCCAUGCAUGCCUAAAUCUGAGAAUCCCUCAAGCAGCUAUAUGGACUUCUACUUUUAAAAUGCCUAUUACGCUUUCAUACUUUCUCCUGCUUCCUGAAGAGUGCCAUUUCGCCAAGCUUAAAUAGCAGAAAAUUGCAAUGCUUUUUCCUCUGCCCAUCUCCUCAAUCUCUAUUAACCUGCACAAGAACAAAGGAGUAUGAUGGUCCGGCUAUAGGCUGGGAAAUAGGUUUGAAGUUGUUUUUCAUUUACUGGUUCCCAUCUUUUUGAUUCAUCAAUGCAUCUCUAACAAUAUCCUUCUUUUCAUACCUAAGCAAAUUACUGAAAACACAAUCCUCUCCCCCAAAUAUGUAAAUGCAUUUGUCUUCAUGCAUCUGUAGGAGUCUGCACACAUGCAUGCAUGCACGCACACACAGACAUACACAUUUAUUAUUUACAUCAACACCAAAUGAUGCCAUGUGGCUUUUAGAAUGUGUCAUGAUUUAAAUAAAAGUGAUAAAAGUAAAACUGGCCCAAGUGGAAUUCAUUCUCUUUAGGUUAUAGGAGAACAAUGAGCUAUGAGCAGAAAAGCAAAUUGUUGAUGCACCUGGUUCUAAUGCUUUGCAGGAAGCCUUUAUUAGAUGUCAUAAACUGAA